UACGGGGGGGGCAAGCGUUGUUCGGAAUUACUGGGCGGAAAGGGCUCGUAGGUGGCCAACUAAGUCAGACGUGAAAUCCCUCGGCUUAACCGGGGAACUGCGUCUGAUACUGGAUGGCUUGAGUUCGGGAGAGGGAUGCGGAAUUCCAGGUGUAGCGGUGAAAUGCGUAGAUAUCUGGAGGAACACCGGUGGCGAAGGCGGCAUCCUGGACCGACACUGACACUGAGGGGCGAAAGCCAGGGGAGCAAACGGG
rnacentral:rRNA from 1 species